rnacentral:rRNA from 1 species
GAUGAACGCUGGCGGCGUGCCUAACACAUGCAAGUCGAACGGCAGCGCGGACUUCGGUCUGGCGGCGAGUGGCGAACGGGUGAGUAAUGUAUCGGAACGUACCAUUGAGUGGGGGAUAACGUGGCGAAAGUUACGCUAAUACCGCAUAUUCUCUCCGGAGGAAAGCAGGGGACCGCAAGGCCUUGCGCUCUUUGAGCGGCCGAUAUCAGAUUAGCUAGUUGGUGGGGUAAAAGCUCAACAAGGCGACGAUCUGUAGCGGGUCUGAGAGGAUGAGCCGCCACACUGGAACUGAGACACGGUCCAGACUCCUACGGGAGGCAGCAGUGGGGAAUUUUGCGCAAUGGGCGAAAGCCUGACGCAGCAACGCCGCGUGUGUGAUGAAGGUCUUCGGAUUGUAAAGCACUUUCGACUGGGACGAAAACGGGUUGGCCAACAUCCAACUCACUGACGGUACCAGGAGAAGAAGCACCGGCUAACUCUGUGCCAGCCGCCGCGGUAAAAC